rnacentral:rRNA from 1 species
GUUAACCCGUUCGAUUUUCGGGUGAAAGGGGGGACCGUAAGGCCUCAAGUUAUAGAGCGGCCGAUUCUGAUUGCUAGUGGUGAGUAAAGGUUACCAAGGUUCGAUCAGUAGUUGUCUGAGAGGACGACCAGCCACACUGGGAUUGAGACACGGCCCAGAUUCCUACGGGAGGCAGCAGUGGGGAAUUUUGGACAAUGGGGGCAACCCUGAUCCAGCAAUGCCGCGUGAGUGAAGAAGGCCUUCGGGUUGUAAAGCUCUUUUGUCAGGGAAGAAACGGUCUGAUCUAAUACAUUGGGCUAAUGACGGUACCUGAAGAAUAAGCACCGGCUAACUACGUGCCAGCAGCCGCGGUAAUACGUAGGGUGCAAGCGUUAAUCGGAAUUACUGGGCGUAAAGCGUGCGCAGGCGGUUAUGUAAGACAGGUGUGAAAUCCCCGGGCUUAACCUGGGAAUGGCAUUUGUGACUGCAUAGCUAGAGUGUGUCAGAGGGGGGUAGAAUUCCACGUGUAGCAGUGAAAUGCGUAGAGAUGUGGAGGAAUACCGAUGGCGAAGGCAGCCCCCUGGGAUAACACUGACGCUCAUGCACGAAAGCGUGGGGAGCAAACAGGAUUAGAUACCCUGGUAGUCCACGCCCUAAACGAUGUCUACUAGUUGUCGGGUCUUAAUUGACUUGGUAACGCAGCUAACGCGUGAAGUAGACCGCCUGGGGAGUACGGUCGCAAGAUUAAAACUCAAAGGAAUUGACGGGGACCCGCACAAGCGGUGGAUGAUGUGGAUUAAUUCGAUGCAACGCGAAAAACCUUACCUACCCUUGACAUGUACAGAAUCCCGAAGAGAUUUGGGAGUGUUCGAAAGAAAACUGUAACACAGGUGCUGCAUGGCUGUCGUCAGCUCGUGUCGUGAGAUGUUGGGUUAAGUCCCGCAACGAGCGCAACCCUUGUCAUUAGUUGCUACGAAAGGGCACUCUAAUGAGACUGCCGGUGACAAACCGGAGGAAGGUGGGGAUGACGUCAAGUCCUCAUGGCCCUUAUGGGUAGGGCUUCACACGUCAUACAAUGGUACAUACAGAGGGCCGCCAACCCGCGAGGGGGAGCUAAUCCCAGAAAGUGUAUCGUAGUCCGGAUUGUAGUCUGCAACUCGACUACAUGAAG